CAUUGAUAGUAGCAUAAGUUUGUGUGUCUCUACAGUGACAUGAGCUCCAACACACUGGACAGCUUUCCUACCGUCAUCAGGGCUCUGCCCAGCCUUCGUGAUCUAAAUCUCCAUAACAACCAUAUUAAAACCAUCCCAGAUCGUGCCUUCAUUGGAAACCCUUCCCUGGAGACAUUAAACCUCCAUCUCAACCCAGUUCAGUCGAUAGGAGAAAACAGCUUCCAAAGACUUCCUCG